AGUGAACGCUGGCGGUAGGCCUAACACAUGCAAGUCGAACGGCAGCACAGUAAGAGCUUGCUCUUACGGGUGGCGAGUGGCGGACGGGUGAGGAAUACAUCGGAAUCUACUUUUUCGUGGGGGAUAACGUAGGGAAACUUACGCUAAUACCGCAUACGACCUACGGGUGAAAGCAGGGGAUCUUCGGACCUUGCGCGAUUGAAUGAGCCGAUGUCGGAUUAGCUAGUUGGCUGGGUAAAGGCCCACCAAGGCGACGAUCCGUAGCUGGUCUGAGAGGAUGAUCGGCCACACUGGAACUGAGACACGGUCCAGACUCCUACGGGAGGCAGCAGUGGGGAAUAUUGGGCAAUGGGCGCAAGCCUGAUCCAGCCAUACCGCGUGGGUGAAGAAGGCCUUCGGGUUGUAAAGCCCUUUUGUUGGGAAAGAAAAGCAGCAGGUUAAUACCCCGCUGUUCUGACGGUACCCAAAGAAUAAGCACCGGCUAACUUCGUG
rnacentral:rRNA from 1 species